GAAGUUGCCCAUGUUCUUUUCG
rnacentral:miRNA from 1 species